ensembl:processed_transcript
CGGCGGACUGUUCGGAUCAUACAGCAUACAAUUCCACAUAGAACCAUAGGAGAAAACGAGAUGGACAAGGAGAGAGCAAGAAAGCUGGGAAAGUGACAGUGAGAGGAAGAGCACACGAAGGAAAGUAAGACUUUUCUCAGGGUUACCGCACAGACUUGGCUGUGCGGUCGACUUCAAGUUCGGGGAGGGGGACGGGCUACCGCCCACCGCGCAAGUCUGAAAAAGAGAAUGAACAACAAACGCCACGCAAGCCAUUCUAUGCCCCGGAUGGAGUUUCACAAAGUCGCUUCUACAUCAGCGAAAUUUACUAAGGCAGAAACCAAUAUAACAUGACAAGUAGGAACUUUUGGGAGGGACUUCUCAUCAGCAUAUUAUAGUAUGCUUAGCCUUUUAUAUAUGUGCCGUUUUUGAAUGGUCGACGUAAGCAUCAAGCACCGUAAGAAAAAAAAUUAUUUAAACAUUUUAAUUAAAAAGUAACCAAACCGUUUGUAUAUCGACCUACAAGGAAUGAGAGAUAUGCAUAUCUUUCUUUAGUCUUAGCUAUUCUUGAAAGCCCAUUACUAAAACAAACUAUUGCUGCUGUCAUUUUAAAAAGCCAUUUUCUUUAUUUAGAAAAUGGAUGCUCAGGCAGAGAGCUAUUGGUCUGAAAGAGAUAAAUUUGAUUACAAAUCUUGUUAAGUAUUUGCAAGUAGUUAUGAGCUACAUGUAUUACAUUCCACAGGAAAGUUGAAAAAUGUCGAGUGUACAAAUGUGCAUCAACUGUGAAAAUAUGUAAUUGUACUUUUUUUUUUUUUAAUAUGUUUUUGUAAAUUUUAAAAGACAAUAAACGAUAGGAUACCGAUGAA